rnacentral:rRNA from 1 species
UGUAAUACUACGUCUAACGCAUUAAAUACAACUUUCAGCAACGGAUCUCUUGGCUCUCGCAUCGAUGAAGAACGCAGCGAAAUGCGAUAAGUAAUGUGAAUUGCAGAAUUCAGUGAAUCAUCGAAUCUUUGAACGCACCUUGCGCUCCUUGGUAUUCCGAGGAGCAUGCCUGUUUGAGUGUCAUGGUAUUCUCAACCUUCAAAGCUUUUGCAAUGGAGGCUUGGAUUUGGAGGCUGUGUUGGCGCAAGUCAACUCCUCUUAAAUGUAUUAGUGUGAACCUUACGGAUCGCCUUCAGUGUGAUAAUUGUCUACGCUGUGGUGUUGAAGUAUAUUCGAGUUCAUGCUUCUAAUCGUCCGCAUGGAUAACUUUACUUGACAAUCUGACCUCAAAUCAGGUAGGACUACCCGCUGAACUUAAGCAUAUCAAUAAGCGGAGGAAAAGAAACUAACAAGGAUUCCCCUAGUAACUGCGAGUGAAGCGGGAAAAGCUCAAAUUUAAAAUCUGGCAGUCUUUGGCUGUCCGAGUUGUAGUCUGGAGAAGCGUCUUCCGCGC